GAGUUUGAUCGUGGCUCAGAACGAACGCUGGCGGCAUGCCUAACACAUGCAAGUCGAACGAGACCUUCGGGUCUAGUGGCGCACGGGUGCGUAACGCGUGGGAACCUGCCUUUAGGUUCGGAAUAACUCCCCGAAAGGGGUGCUAAUACCGAAUAAUGUCUUCGGACCAAAGAUUUAUCGCCUUUAGAUGGGCCCGCGUUGGAUUAGCUAGUUGGUGGGGUAAAGGCCUACCAAGGCGACGAUCCAUAGCUGGUCUUAGAGGAUGAUCAGCCACACUGGGACUGAGACACGGCCCAGACUCCUACGGGAGGCAGCAGUGGGGAAUAUUGGACAAUGGGCGAAAGCCUGAUCCAGCAAUGCCGCGUGAGUGAUGAAGGCCUUAGGGUUGUAAAGACUCUUUUACCUAGGGAUGAUAAUGACAGUACCUGGAGAAUAAGCUCCGGCUAACUCCGUG
rnacentral:rRNA from 1 species